GUGACUGUGGCUCAAUGGGAAGACUAGUUGGCUUAUAAUGCAAUUGUUGUGGGUUCAAUUCCAGCUCCUUCCUGCCACA